AUUGAACGCUGGCGGCAUGCCUUACACAUGCAAGUCGAACGGCAGCAUGAUCUAGCUUGCUAGAUUGAUGGCGAGUGGCGAACGGGUGAGUAAUACAUCGGAACGUGCCCUGUAGUGGGGGAUAACUAGUCGAAAGAUUAGCUAAUACCGCAUACGACCUGAGGGUGAAAGUGGGGGACCGCAAGGCCUCAUGCUAUAGGAGCGGCCGAUGUCUGAUUAGCUAGUUGGUGAGGUAAAGGCUCACCAAGGCGACGAUCAGUAGCUGGUCUGAGAGGACGAUCAGCCACACUGGGACUGAGACACGGCCCAGACUCCUACGGGAGGCAGCAGUGGGGAAUUUUGGACAAUGGGCGAAAGCCUGAUCCAGCAAUGCCGCGUGUGUGAAGAAGGCCUUCGGGUUGUAAAGCACUUUUGUCCGGAAAGAAAUGGCUCUGGUUAAUACCUGGGGUCGAUGAUGGUACCGGAAGAAUAAGGACCGGCUAACUACGUG
rnacentral:rRNA from 1 species